rnacentral:rRNA from 1 species
AACGAACGCUGGCGGCAUGCCUAACACAUGCAAGUCGAACGGACCCUUCGGGGUCAGUGGCGCACGGGUGCGUAACGCGUAGGAAUCUGCCCUUAAGUGGGGGAUAACCAGGGGAAACCCUGACUAAUACCGCAUGAUCUCUUCGGAGCAAAGAGGGGGACCGCAAGGCCUCUCGCUUCUGGAUGAGCCUACGUCUGAUUAGCUAGUUGGUAGGGUAAAGGCCUACCAAGGCGACGAUCAGUAACUGGUCUGAGAGGAUGAUCAGUCACACCGGAACUGAGACACGGCCCAGACUCCUACGGGAGGCAGCAGUGGGGAAUAUUGGACAAUGGGCGAAAGCCUGAUCCAGCAAUGCCGCGUGAGUGAUGAAGGCCUUAGGGUUGUAAAGCUCUUUUACCCGGGAUGAUAAUGACAGUACCGGGAGAAUAAGCCCCGGCUAACUCCGUGACAGCCGCCGCCGUAAGAC